AGGGGCCCACUGGAGGUGUUACCUUCUCUUGCUUUUCUCCAGUCAGUAACACGGGGACUUAGGAAGUAGGAGCUAAGCUUACCAGCAUUGGUCAGAUCCACUACAUUUUCCUUCGGUAUUCCAUACUUUUGGCAAAGUUCCUCAAACCUUUUCUUGAUUUGUGGAUUCACAUCUGGGUUUCUGGCUGUGGGAAGAGUGACAUUACUGGGGUUUUUUUA